rnacentral:lncRNA from 1 species
AACAUUGUAGAGCUUUCGCAUAAGAGCGUGUUGGUGCUCAUGGUGAUUCUCAUCUAGUUAGUUAAUAGUUAGUGAUGAUGAUGAUGAUGAUGAUGAAAUACGGUUAUCAUUUUCCCGGGAAAAUGUGUGAGAGAAAAUAUGAGUGGUUGGAAAAUGGAGAAGGGAAAAUGAAAAAGGAAUCUAUGGUGUAUUCAGUAUUUUGUCGUUUAGUGCAUUCAUUU